CAAAACAGGAACAAAAGGAUGCAUACAGAGAAAUCCGGAUGCGUCGUCAGGUAACAGGCAGAUGGUCAAAGACAGGCAGCAGGCAGGAUAAACAAUAAAACAAGUGCCGGAUCAUGACAAGACCUGACACCCAGCUGAUCUCAGAGCAGGACAGAGAAACACUGAUGCUGAGAGCUCCACGGGGCUCUAUUGCAGACGCUGCUCGUCCGUCUGAGUGUUAAAGACUGUCAGAAACACAGCGCCACAGUGACAGGACUCUCCUGCUCUCCUGUGUCCAAUGCACUCGGAGAGUAUGAAGAUGGAACUGAAUUGGGUAUAAAAACAAACUAACAAAUAGUUUUCAACAUGCGUCUCCAGAUGAUACGUGUCGUAUUAAAAGUUUUUUAAAAUGUUACAGAAUGUUCAAUUAUGCACUAAUUGACUUACAUUUUUAGAACAAAAAUCUGACUUUUAUUCUGUUUUUUUCCAUAUUAGAGAUUAAGGAUUUGACAUAAACAAAAAUAAAUGACGUUUGCUGUUUGUUUAACUUAA